GGCAAUGUGGCGAAACGGGUGAGGUGAUCAUCCACUUCGUAUGAGCCUUACUACUGUAGCAAAAGGCGUUUCUUCCUCUUCAGUUUAUUCCAUGAAGUUACCUUUUGUUGAAAAAAAAAAAAACCACACGAAUAUCAGGCGCGUUUCUGAAACGUACUUUCAGCAGGAAAUUAGCCAAGCAAGCUGCUCCGCUGGUUUGAUAUUUUAAACUGGGGGGAAUGCUGGUUUAAAGUUGGACCGGCAGCAACGCGCUGCAGGGAGCAGCAAGCAAGCCAUGACGAAAGAAAGCCACCGACCCAGGUAACUCCUGCAUACAAUGGAAGCCCCAUUACGGAUUAAACUUUGCGAAUCUGAUACGAGGGGGGAUCUGUUGGCAUCGUAAUCCGUGAUCGAAAAGUCGAUUUGGUGGCGGGCCCGAUCCCCAGCCAAUUGCUGCUAUUUGAUGCGACGUUACGCCGCGUGUUUGAACAAGCGGCCCUUUUUAACGGCAUGAAAAAUAAUAAUCAUCACUCAUCACUACAAAUAACUAGUUAGUUAAUAAAUCAUCAUAUAUGAAUAAAUAUAUCCGGG
rnacentral:sRNA from 1 species